rnacentral:misc_RNA from 1 species
UUCAAAAUGGAGAAAUGUCAAAGGGUAUGUUAUUACUGCAAUUAUUUUUUAGGCCCAUAAAGUUGUCAGAUACAUUAUUCAGUCUAGUGUUACUGUUGUGAAAUUAGUUUAGUUUUUUUGAAUUUCAAAAUUGUUGGUUUUGUUCACAAGGAAUAGGUUGGUGUGAAUUUCAUCAUUCAAUUGUUUCCUAAAUGCUUUCUGAAAUCCGGUUACCCAGACAGCAGAUAAAAUGGAUUUGGAAGGCAGUCUAUGAUAGGAUCCUCAUCUAAAUAUUGGGUGUGUUUGUAUGAUGUCUACAUCAAAUAUUUUUCAUGUUAAUCUUAGUUUAAUAGACUUCCUUGGCAUUGUUAGCCAACUUAGCGGAUCAUAGUAACAUGUUAGUCUAUCUGUGACAGACUGUUAAUUACUUGUGAAUUAUUUAGUUCUUCUUCUGUUCGUUACAUAUCUGACCUGCUCUUUAUCCUCUUGGAAACUGUACCAAGUACUGAAAUUUGGGACGACUGUCGUAAUAAUCUUAAAUGUUUAUUUGGAUCCGUUGUUGCCCUUGUUGACCCAUUAUGUCAAAUUAUAACUCAUUUGAUAGAAGUAUUUGCUAAGAAUCUAAAGAGAUUAAGGAUACCAUGGAUUCUUGCUGGUUUCUUAAUCUUUUUAAUCUGAUAAUGUCCCUAGUGCUAUUGAAUUUGUCUUGUGUCUUCGCCAGAUGAGAGAAAUGUCCCUGAUUUCAAUUCAUUAAUAAUAUGUGAUUUAAGUGCAAAACUUGUGACAACGAUACAAGAGCUGGCAGUCAAUGAUGUAUCAUUGCUUACAGUGCUUUGCUUCAUUUGUUUCUUUGCAGCUGAUACAAUGAAGUUGACCAAGUUAUAACUCGAGAAAAAUUUUCUUCCAGAGAAAUGUGAUGUGGACGAUACACUUCAUGUAGGUCUUGAUAUUAAGGUUGUGAAUGAGGACUCAUAGCUGUCUCACAAGCGACUUGAGGGAAAUGAACACGCUUGACCACUUUGAUCACAACUUACAUUGCAAGUAGGAAUGAUAUUUAACUGUUGAUGAUAGGUAGUCACUUACGGAUUAAUUUUUGGAAUAGUUUGAGAUGGUUGAUUGCCAUCUUUCCAUGUAUUCUAUGGACUAAAAACAUUUUUGGCCGUCAGAGUUUCAAUCAUACGGAAUCUGAUAUCCAGUAAGUUUUCAUGUUUGUUUGUAGCUAUAAAAAUGUUCCAAGAGUUG